rnacentral:rRNA from 1 species
AUGGUGAACAUCUCCUCCACCUGCGGGCUCAUGGCCAACUCACACAUGUCAGUGUACUCGGCGAGCAAGGCGGCCGUGAACCAGCUUACCCGGAGCCUCGCUGUGGAGUGGGCGGGCGACGGCAUCCGCGUCAACUGCGUGUCGCCGGGGGGCACCCGGACGGAGCUCGCCAAUAGCAGCGGCAUACAGCUUCACCCGGAGACAGCGCAGAAGAUGGGGGGGCGGAGAGCGCGCGCAUCCCAUUGGGCCGCAUGGGCGAGCCCGAGGAGAUCGCGUCGCUCGUCGUGUUCCUUUGCAUGCUGGCAGCGUCCUACAUCACGGGGCAGGUCGUGUGCGUCGACGGUGGCCGCACCAUAG